UACGUAGGGUGCAAGCGUUGUCCGGAAUUAUUGGGCGUAAAGAGCUCGUAGGCGGUUCGUCGCGUCGGCUGUGAAAUCCCGGAGCUCAACUCCGGGUCUGCAGUCGAUACGGGCGGACUCGAGUUCGGCAGGGGAGACGUGGAAUUCCUGGUGUAGCGGUGAAAUGCGCAGAUAUCAGGAGGAACACCGGCGGCGAAGGCGGGGUCUCUGGGGCCGGAUACUGACGCUGAGGAGCGAAAGCGUGGGGGGAGCGAACAGG
rnacentral:rRNA from 1 species